GUGGAUGUGGAUGUUGGAUUGGAAGAGAGAUUGAUGGAAGGAGGUUCUGGCGAAAAGACGGUGGAGGUCGGUGGGAUUGUGGCUGACUUGGUUGAAGAAUGUGCUGAGGAUGGAGGCUUGGAGAAGAGGGAAGCGGUUGAAGAUGAUGCGGCUGUUGGAUUGGAAAAGAGAUUGAUGGAAGGAGGUUAUGGUGAAAAGACGGUGGAGGUCGGUGAGAUUGCGGCUGACUUGGUUGAAGAAUGUGUUGAGGAUGAAGUUCGUUCGGAGAAGAGGGAAGCGGUUGAAGAUGAUGUGGCUAUUGGAUUGGAAAAGAGAUUGAUGAAAGAAGGUUGUGGUGAAAAGACGGUGGAGGCCUGUGAUGGAGUCGGUGGGUUUGAGGCUGACUUGGUUGAAGAAUUUGCUGAGGAUGAAUGGAAUUCAGAGAAACGUGAAGCGGUUGAAGAAGAUGCGGUUGUUGGAUUGGAAGAGAAAUUGAUGAAAGGAGAUUGUGGCGAAGAGACGGUGGAGGUCUCUGAUGGGGUCAGUGGGGUUGAGGCUGACUUGGUUGAUGAUGAAGGGUGUUCGGAGAAGAUUGAAGCGGUUGUUGGAUUGGAAGAGACAUUGACGAAAGGAGAUUGUGGUGAAGAGACUGUGGAGGUCUGUGAU
rnacentral:lncRNA from 1 species